AACGAACGCUGGCGGCAGGCUUAACACAUGCAAGUCGAGCGCAUCCUUCGGGGUGAGCGGCGGACGGGUGAGUAACGCGUGGGAACGUGCCCUCUUCUACGGAAUAGCCUCGGGAAACUGAGAGUAAUGCCGUAUACGCCCGCAAGGGGAAAGAUUUAUCGGAGGAGGAUCGGCCCGCGUUGGAUUAGGUAGUUGGUGGGGUAACGGCCUACCAAGCCGACGAUCCAUAGCUGGUUUGAGAGGAUGAUCAGCCACACUGGGACUGAGACACGGCCCAGACCCCUACGGGGGGCAGCAGGGGGGAAUCUUGGAAAAUGGGGGCAACCCGGCUCCACCCGUGCCGGGUGAUCGAUGAAGGCCUUGGGGUUGAAAAGAUCUUUCAGCGGGGAAGAUAAGGCCGGUACCAGCAAAAGAAGCCCCGGCUAACUCCGU
rnacentral:rRNA from 1 species